rnacentral:rRNA from 1 species
UACAGAGGUCCCAAGCGUUGUUCGGAUUUACUGGGCGUAAAGGGUGCGUAGGUGGCGGGGUAAGUCUGGUGUGAAAGCUUCGAGCUCAACUCGGAAAAGCAUUGGAAACUAUCCCGCUGGAGGGUCGGAGGGGAGACUGGAAUUCUCGGUGUAGCAGUGAAAUGCGUAGAUAUCGAGAGGAACACCAGUGGCGAAGGCGAGUCUCUGGACAGUUCCUGACGCUGAGGCACGAAGGCCAGGGGAGCAAACGGG